CUUAAACCCAGGAGGGCUUCUUCCAGACAAGCCGAGAUCGCACCACUGCACUCCAGCCUGGGUGACAGAGGGAGACGACUGUGUCUCAAAAAAUAAAAGAGGAUAGUAUGGCUGCAGCAGAGUGAGGAAUGGAGAAAAAUGGGGACAUGAGGUCAAGAGAUGGUGGGGAAAUGACAGAUUGUGCGGGGCCUUGUGGAAUAUUGUAAGGACUUUGACUUUUUCUCUUACUUUGAGGGCACUGAGCACAGAAGUGACAUGGCCUGACUUUACAAUUUACAAGAAUGACUCUGACUGCUAAGUUAAGAACAGAUUGGAGAAGCUGGGAGACCUGCUGGGAGCCUAUUGCAGUGAUCCAACGAAGGGGAUUGUGGCUCAGACCAGGAACCAGCUGUGCAAAUGGACAGAACAUCUCACACUAAACUACGCUACCUUUAGGUGAGCCAGGUGGUAUCAGUCAAGACUGGCUUUCUGGAAAAGGCACCUGGACCAGGUUUCACAUCAUGGGAGGCCUAAGCUACGGUAUCUCUACUUAAAGUUUCUUACUGUCCAGAGAGAGUAGUCCACACCCCUCUCCAGGGGCCUGGGGGUCCAGUCAGCAGGCUGCCUGGAGCCAGGGCACACUCUCUCCCCAAAAGAUGACCCACCAGCAUGUUUGCCUAAUGUGGCCACUUUGGAAACAUUGUUUGUUCUUAUCCUGCUAAAAACAGCUUCAAAGUGACUCCUGUCUAAACUGUGCCACGAUCGAUUAUCAAAUCCCUGACCUGAUCGAAACCACAGGGGGACACAGUCAUUUGCUUUAAUGCAAUUAAAGCAAAAUAUAAUCAUGUAUCCAGGCCAGGGACAAGGGCAGGGCUCUUUAGAAGGUGGGAGGAGAAACCAGCUCUGGAUAAUUUCUUCUCAGCUCCAAGGUAGCGAGCUUAGACUUCUCCUGCCUCCGUCUCCAAGGCAGCCUUGGGCUUUGCUGCAGAGCCACCAGGUGAGGGUGUCCUGGGCGAAGGGGGAGCUGGGAGAAAGCAGUUUUGGAGUGAGAUGUGGAGGAGGGUGGGGAUUUGCAGAGCACAGCCAGG
rnacentral:lncRNA from 10 species